AGUGGCGAACGGGUGAGUAACACGUGAGUAAUCUGCCCUCGAGCGGGGGAUAACUCCGAGAAAGCGGAGCUAAUACCGCAUGAAACUUUGGAGCGUAAUGCUUUCAAAGUCAAAGCUUCCGGGUGCUUGAGGAUGAGCUCGCUGCCUAUUAGCUUGUUGGUAGGGUAACGGCCUACCAAGGCAACAAUGCGGUAGCCGGCCUGAAAGGGUGUUCGGCUCACACGUGUGACUGCAACACGGCCCAAGACUCCAUACGGAAGGCAGCAGGUAGGGGAAUUUUGCCCAAGUGGGCGAAAGCCUGACGCACCGACGCCGCUUGGAAGAUGAAGGCAUCGGAUUGUAAACUGCCUGUCAGAGGUGAAAAAAGUCCCUUAAUGGGUCUGACGGUAGAACCUCAGACGAAAGCCCCGGCCUAUCUACUAUGCCCACCAGGCCGCGGUAAUACGUAGGGGGCAAACUUCGCUCGUAAUUACUGGGCGUAAAGGGUGCGCGGGUGGUUGACAAAGUCAUUGAUGAAAUCCCGGGGCUUACCCCCGGAACUGUCUUCGGUACUUCUCAGUGUGAGGAUAGUCUAGGAGAACGGAAUUCCCGGUGGAUCGGUGAAAUGCGUAGAUCUCGGGAGGAACACCAAAGGCCAAGGCGGUUCUCUAGGCUGAUCCUGACACUGAAGCACGAAAGCUAAGGGAGCGAACGGGAUUAGAUACCCCGGUAGUCCUAACUGUAAACGAUGGGCACUAG
rnacentral:rRNA from 1 species